rnacentral:rRNA from 1 species
GAUGAACGCUGGCGGCGUGCCUAAUACAUGCAAGUCGAACGGAAAGGCCCUGCGUUUGUUGCGUUGUCGUUUGGCGCAGACGGGAGUGUAACGCGUGGAUACCCUCCCUGUAUUUGUGGGAAAAUUUCGGAACACGGGCGCAAAUCCGGUAUGAUCUCCUGCGCCGUAGGGUUGGUUGGUAAAUUUCGGUUGUUGUGGCUGGUAUCGAUGGUUAUGAGCUGGAUUGGGGGGUAGUGGCUUUCCAGGGAUUUGACGGGUAGGCGGCCUGGGAGGGUGACCGGCGACAUUGGGACUGAGAUACGGACCAGAAUGCUACGGGAGGCAGCAGUGGGGAAUAUUGCACAAUGGGCAGAAGCCUGAUGCAGCAACGCCGCGUGCGGGAUGCCGGGCUUCGGGUUGUAAACCGAUUUCGAAUGUGACGAAGCGUGAGUGACGGUAAUGGGUCAAGAAGCACCGGCUAACUACGUG